GAUGAACGCUGGCGGCGUGCCUAAUACAUGCAAGUCGAGCGAACAGACGAGGAGCUUGCUCCUCUGACGUUAGCGGCGGACGGGUGAGUAACACGUGGAUAACCUACCUAUAAGACUGGGUUACCUUCGGAAACCCGAGCCUAUUCCCGGUUAUUUAUUUAACCCCCAUGUUCAAUUGUGAAAGGCCGUUUUUGCUGUCCCUUUUAAUUGGAUCCCCCCCGCAUUAGCUAGUUGGUAAGGUAACGGCUUCCAAAGGCAACGAUGAGUAGCCGACCUGAGAGGGUGAUCGGCCACACUGGAACUGAGACACGGUCCAGACUCCUACGGGAGGCAGCAGUAGGGAAUCUUCCGCAAUGGGCGAAAGCCUGAAGGAGCAACGCCGCGUGAGUGAUGAAGGUCUUCGGAUCGUAAAACUCUGUUAUUAGGGAAGAACAAAUGUGUAAGUAACUAUGCACGUCUUGACGGUACCUAAUCAGAAAGCCACGGCUAACUACGUG
rnacentral:rRNA from 1 species